GGCAGUGGGGCAGCUACCAUGCAGUCGAGCGGUAGAGAGAAGCUUGCUUCUCUUGAGAGCGGCGGACGGGUGAGUAAUGCCUAGGAAUCUGCCUGGUAGUGGGGGAUAACGUUCGGAAACGGACGCUAAUACCGCAUACGUCCUACGGGAGAAAGCAGGGGACCUUCGGGCCUUGCGCUAUCAGAUGAGCCUAGGUCGGAUUAGCUAGUUGGUGAGGUAAUGGCUCACCAAGGCGACGAUCCGUAACUGGUCUGAGAGGAUGAUCAGUCACACUGGAACUGAGACACGGUCCAGACUCCUACGGGAGGCAGCAGUGGGGAAUAUUGGACAAUGGGCGAAAGCCUGAUCCAGCCAUGCCGCGUGUGUGAAGAAGGUCUUCGGAUUGUAAAGCACUUUAAGUUGGGAGGAAGGGCAGUUACCUAAUACGUGAUUGUUUUGACGUUACCGACAGAAUAAGCACCGGCUAACUCUGUGCCAGCAGCCGCGGUAAUACAGAGGGUGCAAGCGUUAAUCGGAAUUACUGGGCGUAAAGCGCGCGUAGGUGGUUUGUUAAGUUGGAUGUGAAAUCCCCGGGCUCAACCUGGGAACUGCAUUCAAAACUGACUGACUAGAGUAUGGUAGAGGGUGGUGGAAUUUCCUGUGUAGCGGUGAAAUGCGUAGAUAUAGGAAGGAACACCAGUGGCGAAGGCGACCACCUGGACUAAUACUGACACUGAGGUGCGAAAGCGUGGGGAGCAAACAGGAUUAGAUACCCUGGUAGUCCACGCCGUAAACGAUGUCAACUAGCCGUUGGAAGCCUUGAGCUUUUAGUGGCGCAGCUAACGCAUUAAGUUGACCGCCUGGGGAGUACGGCCGCAAGGUUAAAACUCAAAUGAAUUGACGGGGGCCCGCACAAGCGGUGGAGCAUGUGGUUUAAUUCGAAGCAACGCGAAGAAACCUUACCAGCCUUGACAUCCAAUGAACUUUUCUAGAGAUAGAUUGGUGCCUUCGGGGAACAUUGAGACCAGGUGCUGCAUGGCUGUCGUCAGCUCGUGUCGUGAGAAUGUUGGGGUAAAGUCCCGUAACGAAGCGCAAUCUUUGUCCUUAAUUUAUCACCACGUAAUGGUGGGGCCUCCUAUGAGACCGCCGGUGGAAAAACCCGAGGAAAGGUGGGGAUGGACGUUCAAGUUCAUCAUUG
rnacentral:rRNA from 1 species